GACGAACGCUGGCGGCGUGCCUAACACAUGCAAGUUGAGCGACGAACCAGGGCUUGCCCUGGGGCAAAGCAGCGAACGGGCGAGUAACACGUGGGUAACCUACCCCGAUAACCGGGACAACCCGAGGAAACUCGGGCUAAUACCGGAUGUGCUCACUGGACUUCGGUUCAGUGCGUAAAGGAAGCUUCGGCCUCCGUAUCGGGAGGGGCCCGCGGCCCAUUAGUUUGUUGGUGAGGUAACGGCUCACCAAGACCGCGAUGGGUAGCUGGUCUGAGAGGACGAUCAGCCACACUGGGACUGAGACACGGCCCAGACUCCUACGGGAGGCAGCAGUGGGGAAUCUUGCGCAAUGCGCGAAAGCGUGACGCAGCAACGCCGCGUGGGGGAAGAAGGCCUUCGGGUUGUAAACCCCUUUCAGGGGGGACGAAGGUUCGGCGGUGAAUAGCCGUCCGGACUGACGGUACCUCCACAAGAAGCCCCGGCUAACUACGUG
rnacentral:rRNA from 1 species